CGAACGCUGGCGGCGUGCCUAAUACAUGCAAGUCGAGCGGACAGAUGGGAGCUUGCUCCCUGAAGUCAGCGGCGGACGGGUGAGUAACACGUGGGCAACCUGCCUGUAAGACUGGGAUAACUCCGGGAAACCGGGGCUAAUACCGGAUAAUUCUUUCCCUCACAUGAGGGAAAGCUGAAAGAUGGUUUCGGCUAUCACUUACAGAUGGGCCCGCGGCGCAUUAGCUAGUUGGUGAGGUAACGGCUCACCAAGGCAACGAUGCGUAGCCGACCUGAGAGGGUGAUCGGCCACACUGGGACUGAGACACG
rnacentral:rRNA from 1 species